CGGUAAUACCAGCUCUCCGAGUAGUGUGGAUGUUUAUUGGGCCUAAAGCAUCCGUAGCUUGCUAGGCAAGUCCCCUGUUAAAUCCACCGAUUCAAUCGAUGGUUUGCGGGGGAUACUGUUUGGCUAGGGGACGGGAGAGGUCGACGGUAUUUCCGGGGUAGGGGUGAAAUCCUAUGAUCCCGGGAGGACCACCAGUGGCGAAGGCUGUCGGCUAGAACGCG
rnacentral:rRNA from 1 species